UCCCUCGUGCUCAGCUCAAUCGAGGCAUUCAUGUGCACUCGAUUCGGAUCGUUCCACAUCUCCCGGCUCCCAGGGAGAAACUCAGAAGUGAUAAACACAAAUUCCUUCUUCCAAUUGCAUCCGAAGUUCGUCGGGAGCUCGUCGACGAUAUUCUUGUCAAAGUGUCGUCGCGUGAAACCAAAGCGACCGGAUGCGGACUUCUCUCUUGUGAGCUUGUAGUAGUAGAGAAACAAGCUCGCCGUCGCAGCGACAUUCAACCCCCAGCAUAUAUUCAUGAAACCCCGCAGGAUCACGAAGAAUCCCGCCGGGAGCUGCGACAAUGAAACU
rnacentral:lncRNA from 1 species